UACGAAGGGGACUAGCGUUGUUCGGAAUUACUGGGCGUAAAGCGCGCGUAGGCGGAUCGCUAAGUCAGGGGUGAAAUCCCAGGGCUCAACCCUGGAACUGCCUUUGAUACUGACGAUCUGGAGAUCGGGAGAGGUUGGUGGAAUUCCGAGUGUAGAGGUGAAAUUCGUAGAUAUUCGGAGGAACACCAGAAGCGGAGGCGGCCAACUGGCCCGAUACUGACGCUGAGGCGCGAAAGCGUGGGGAGCAAACAGG
rnacentral:rRNA from 1 species